ensembl:lncRNA
CAAAGAAGUGUCAGGCCUAAAUGUAGUGAAGUAGAUUUUGGGUUGGGAUGUUACAUGAUGUCCCUAAACGCACCACUGACAUCCACACCUUUCAGCCGACAAUUACCUGGCUAUAAGAAACAGCUGCGCUUCAAUACUGAGAGAAGGCAUUUGGCAGUCUUGGCAAUCUAAGGUGGCUGCAGCACUAGGCAGUUGAGCUCCACAUAUCUCUUAAGGAAAGCUACUCAGUUGCCCUUAGAGAGUGGUGUAUAUUAUACUGCUGCUGUCUUGUCAGAUGCCGUUUUGUUUGUUAUGCACUACUUUUAUAAAGUAUAGUGAUUUGGGAUGUGGUUUUAUGUAGAUCUUUUAUUGAUUGUUUAAUGUUUUAUCUUUUCCUUUAUUGCUUUAGUGGAGGUGUGGCCGCUUGUUUAGAGGCUAGGCACGUGAGGUGGAAUCCCCUCCCCGAUGCAUGCGAGUGUACACACCGGGCAUAGGCAGAUUGCACCAUUUAGAGUUUAGUGUGAGUGAGGUUUGCUGUGAAAUCACACGGGUGAGUAAUUGGUGGCACCCUUGGGCACUCCUCCCUGUAGGUUGCCUCCUCAAGUGGCCGGUCUCCACCAUUUUGUUUAGUUGCUUCUUUUUAAUAUAUUGUGCUUGUUUUAGGGUAGCAUUGUGGCAGGGAGUAUGUUGUUUUAAUUAUCGUUUGGUAAUAAAGGGUUUUAAUUUAUUUUACUCUCUUACCCCUGCUACCCUAGGUUCCUUUUUAAUCUUUUAGUUAUGUUUUAGUAGUUUCUCUUAAUAAACUUUGCAUUAUAAACUCCCUUUGUCUCACCUCUGCCUUUAAAUAACGAGUCUGUGGGCUUUGGUAGCCAAUACAAUCUUCUCAUUGGCUAGAGAAAUCUUUCCUGGGGUUGUAGCGCCCUCCCCCAGGUGGCGUUGUCACUACUUUAGUAACCGUCCCCGGUUUUCUCAUAUUCGCGACACCACAAUCUGGCGUUGUCGACAGAACAUUUUCAGGCAGAGAUCUGUUGCAUGUUGUUUUGUUUUUUUGGGGGUUAAAUCUGUUUGGUUAUUGUAGUGCAGCGGCAAGACAGCAGCAGUGGCAGCGUCGGGACGGACUUCUGGUUUUUAUAAAGUGAUAUUUAAAUACUCUGGUUUAUUAUGGAGGAAGAGCUCACACAGCUACGAGACUUGGUAGCUCAGCUGCAAGCAGAAAAUCGGCGGAUGCGGCAAGAGCGAGGAUCGGAGCAACCUGGCACCAGUGCUGCUGCUAUAGGUUCAUCCACCAAUGGGCAUUCUGCUGUUUCAGCUCCCGCGACUGAGAGACUGAUUUAUAUUCCUCGGGAGAGGAAGUGCCCAUGGUUUAACGGUAAGACUGGUAUAGGUAUUGCCGAAUGGGUGGAAGAGGUGCAGGCCUGUUUGAGGGUACGACAUCUUUCACCAGCCGACCAAGCCCUUUUCAUCUAUGAUCAUCUAGAAGGCGAGCCCAGAGAAGAGAUUAAAUAUCGGCUUCCAGAGGAGAAAGACGAUCCCGAAAAGAUUUUGACUAUUUUACAGGAACUGUAUGGAUGUACUAAGUCAUAUGUUUCUCUGCAGGAAGAGUUCUUUUCAAGACGACAGCAGGAGGGAGAAACAUUGCAAGAGUUUUCGCAUGCUCUUAUGUGCCUCAUGGACAGAGUUGCGAAACAGUCCCCUCAUGUUCUGCUGAACAAAGAUGUGUUGCUUAGAGACCAAUUUGUUGAAAAUGUGCUUGAUUGUUUCUUACGCAGAGAAUUAAAACAGUAUGUCCGCAGCCACCCUACUGCCACCUUGAUGGAUGUUCGUCAUGAGGCUAUAUUAUGGGAGCGUGGAGGUAUGCCAGG